rnacentral:rRNA from 1 species
UAGGGAAUCUUCCACAAUGGACGAAAGUCUGACCGAGCAACGCCGCGUGAGUGAAGAAGGUUUUCGGAUCGUAAAACUCUGUUGGUAGAGAAGAACGUUGGUGAGAGUGGAAAGCUCAUCAAGUGACGGUAACUACCCAGAAAGGGACGGCUAACUACGUACCAG